GCUGGGGUCAGUCCGGGCUGCCGGGGAGGGGGGACGGGGCGGGACGGGACGGGACGGGACGGGACGGGGGAAGGCAGCGGCCGCCAGCGGCGGGAGCUCGGGAGGAGUGAGGCAGCGGGCAGGGGACGGCGGCGGUGCCGGCUGCGGGUUUAGGUGCCAGAAGACCUUGUUGAAGCUUUUCUGGAUCAGAAAUUAAACUUCAAAGUCACAUUAUCACAGAUAAUAGAAUAGCUUCAAUCUCUUGUUGAUGAAAACAUUUAGAACUCCUUGCUCCCACAUCUCUGAAGAAGUACCUCAGAAAUCUCACCAUGACACAUGAACAUUUUCA